UACAGAGGGUGCAAGCGUUAAUCGGAAUUACUGGGCGUAAAGCGCACGUAGGUGGAUAUUUAAGUCGGAAGUGAAAGCCCUGGGCUUAACCUGGGAAUUGCCUCCGAUACUGGCUAUCUAGAAUAUGGUAGAGGGUAGUGGAAUUUCCGGUGUAGCGGUGAAAUGCGUAGAUAUCGGAAGGAACACCAGUGGCGAAAGCGGCUACCUGGACCAAUAUUGACACUUAGGUGCGAAAGCGUGGGGAGCAAACAGG
rnacentral:rRNA from 1 species